GCCUGGCUCUUUGGCGAUGUGGUCAGCGUGUUUGACUCUUACCCUGGGUGUCUGGGGUUCAAUUCCCUGCCCAGGCC